rnacentral:rRNA from 1 species
AAAAACAUGUCCUUUAGAAUUUAAUUUAAGGUCUAGCCUGCCCACUGAUAAUUUAAAUGGCCGCAGUAUUUUAACUGUGCAAAGGUAGCAUAAUCAUUAGUCUUUUAAUUGAAGGCUUGUAUGAAUGGUUGGACGAAAUAUUAACUGUUUCAUAAAAAUUUAUUUAGAAUUUUAUUUUUUAGUUAAAAAGCUAAAAUUUUUUUAAAAGACGAGAAGACCCUAUAGAUCUUUAUAAUUUAUUUAUUAUAGUUAUAUAGAUUAUUUAAAUUAUGAUUGUAUAAGUUAUUUUGUUGGGGUGACAUUAAAAUUUAAUAAACUUUUAAUAAAUUUUUACAUUAAUUUAUGAUUAAUUGAUCCAUUAUUAAUGAUUAUAAAAUUAAGUUACCUUAGGGAUAACAGCGUAAUUUUUUUGAAGAGUUCAUAUCGAUAAAAAAGAUUGCGACCUCGAUGUUGGAUUAAGAUAUAAUUUUGGGUGCAGCAAUUCAAUAAUUAAGUCUGUUCGACUUUUAAUUUCUUACAUG